UAACCCAAUCACUGUCAAGGUCCACUCUUGAAGCAGAGAGGUGUGGUCAGUCUCACUAGAACUACAUGGACUGAGGCUGGGGAAGGGCUUGUUCCCGAAGCAAAACCAGGGCACCUGCAACUGGAUGGAUGGAUGGGGGAUGAAUGCUAGGCAGGCAAAGACUAACGGCCACACAGCGGAUGGGAAGAGAAUCACGUGCAGUUAGUGCCAAUCAGAAAAUGGUGAGUUAUCCAACUGCAGGGAAGGAAACAAUAACCACAACACGUGACACUACCGCAGGCGAACGCAGGGCCAGGCGAUCACUCGUGCUUUCAUGCCGGAGCUCCCCGAGUCCUCCCAGUGACCCCAGGAGAGACUACUGUUGUUAUAACCGCCCUGCUUAGUAGGAAAGAAAGCUGAGCCCAAAGCGGCUAGGCGCGUUGACCCAGUCCACACAGCUAACAGAGGCUCAUGCUAGAAUUCCAGACCACCUGCCUGUCUCUGGAGUCUACAGUCCUUGUCACCGUGCCAUUUAUCCAACAAACAUUCGUGCAGCUGCUCUGGAUCAGGCGCUGUCCCAGCAGAGGCUGCAGUUGACCAAACCCAACACAAAUCCAUGCCCGCACGGAGGGUGAGUUCUAGCGGGGGAGAGCGCGUUAACAGUAAACAUUAAAGUGAAUGCGUACCUGUGGUGAGGACGUCUGUGGAGGGGUCACGUGGCAAGGAGCUGAGAACCGUCCCUAGGAGCUGAGAGCAGCCCCCAGCCAACAGCCAGCAAGAAAAUGGGGACCUCAGUCCUCGAGUCACAAGGAAAUGAACUCUACUGACAGCCACAGGCUCUGAGCAGACCCAGCUCACAGUCUGAGUUCUGCCUCCGGAGAGGCUGAGUGGAAGACCCCGCUAGGCUGGGCCCCAACUUCUGCCCUCAGAACAGGAGGUAACUUGUCACGUGGCAGUGGACAGCCAAGGCGAUGCUGGUAACUACCUCCUGAGGUUGUUAUAACAGGAACGAUCUGCGUGCAAAGUGCUUGGACAGAGCCUGGAACGCGUGAAUAACUAAUACGGGGCAGCGGGGAUGUGAA
rnacentral:lncRNA from 1 species